rnacentral:rRNA from 1 species
UACGUAGGGUGCAAGCGUUAUCCGGAAUUAUUGGGCGUAAAGAGCUCGUAGGCGGUUUGUCGCGUCUGCUGUGAAAACUGGAGGCUCAACCUCCAGCCUGCAGUGGGUACGGGCAGACUAGAGGUGCGGUAGGGGAGAUUGGAAUUCCUGGUGUAGCGGUGGAAUGCGCAGAUAUCAGGAGGAACACCGAUGGCGAAGGCAGAUCUCUGGGCCGUAACUGACGCUGAGGAGCGAAAGCAUGGGGAGCGAACAGG